UAUGCAUGCACAGAAGAGGUGAGAAAGUGCCCUAGCCAUCACUUACCCCUGUCUGAACACUAUGAGCACAGGCAGGGAAAUUCAAGAGGAACCAAUGGAAAGUAGUAGCCUGAGAUGUGCAUUUAUUCUCCAAUCCAUAUACAGAUUUCAUACGGAGCAUGGAAGACUCACUUGAUCUCAAUGUUUCAAUACCAUUUCUAUUCAAUCACUGGCUGAGUUCACAACAUUUGGAAUCCGGAUUUACAAAAAAGAACAAAACAAAUUUUGAGCAGAAACAUUAGUGAAUGCACACUGAUGGGGGGAACAGACAAUACAGAUUUUGUUCAAUCUUAGCAACGUUGUUGGAAAACAGUUGACCAUAGAUGUACGGGUUUAUUUCUGGACUCUCAGUUCUAUUCCACUGAUCUAUAUGUUCAUGCCAGUACUACAAUAUUUUCAUUACUCUGGCUCUGUGGGAAGAAAAUAAGAAAAAAAAAAAUCACUCUGCAAGAUUCUGUAACCCAGAAACCCAAGAAGGAAAGAAAGAGCUGCAUGGUGACCCUGACAACUCCCUUUUUCUCAACCCUCAUCUGAAAUAGAUGCAUACUACAAGGAGGCACAAUGAUAAUGAGCUUAUUUCCUUCAAGCUACAAUCAAGAUGCUGAAAUAAAGGCUGUGCUACAAUAUCUUUUGCCUUAUAUUCUGACAUCAGUGAAAUCAAGGCAAGUGCUCUGCUUUGGCCAGUGUUUUCGUACUUUCUAUUAGCAAUUUACAUACAAAACACAUGCUUUUAGGAGUCCAUAAAUUAUUUCAGGAAUUCAUCUCUAUUUGGAAAGUUAAGCAAUUUCAAAGGCAAUAGUAGUCACCCAUCUAUAAGGAAAGCUACACUUUAACUGCUAAAUGGAACUGCAGGGAUGCAUACAGAAAUUAGAACUGCCUGCAAUGCGCAGUUCAGAAUAAAGAAAGCCAACAAGGGCCACAAUAAAAGUAAUUAUAGCUCUAAGAAAAGCUUUCAAGGAUUUGAAACAGACUCAGAAUUUCUGAGCUUAAUUGGUUUCUACACAAAUAUACAUAUAGUCCAUCUGUCUGUAUGAACACACGUUCUUCUCUGUUUUGGUUAAACCUUCAUUUUAUUCCUUGGUUAACUACUACAGAUACAUUAGAAAGUUUUGUUCUGCUGUGUUAGAAUGUCACAGAAUGACUAACUCAAACCUAAAAUAGAGAACAAUGUGAAAGCCUGUGAAUGUGACAUUCAACUUGAGGGCCACACGGAAAGUGACAAUAUCAAGUAAGUAGAGGGUGGUGCUAGAUAUACCCACAAACUGCUGCCAUGAGAUUACUCAAGUUUUGGUGCCUUAAGGAAUUUUCCUAGGCAACCUUUUCUCUGCACUUCAUUCUACUUAUCUAAUUUAGUUCUGCAAAUUAAAAUUUGCUGAGCUACCUGUGAAGAUGCACAUUCUCAACCUUAAACAAUUCUAGAAAUGUGACAGGAGAUGGGUAACUUCUGGAUCUUUAAUAUUCCCUUUUGGCUUUGAAUAGAUGAUGCUACUACUACCCUUAUUUUAGGUGUGAGAGAAUAGUGGAUAAAAUGUUGUGUAGACAUUCUGAAUAAUAUAUAAAGUAGAACUAGAAUUAUAAUAGCAUAAAAAUAAUCACAAUAUAUUUUUAAAUAAUAAAAUAGCAGCAAUAAUAGUAAGAAAAAGUUUGUGGAAGAUUUGGACUGAAAGCAAAAUGUCAUAAUUUGUUGUUUCAAAGAUAAGUGCCGACAAAAAUUUUCUCCUUGAACAAACUCUUAUCGGGCUCCAGUGAACUCUCUACUCACCUAGACUCAGAUUUUUGAGCUUCUAUGUUUAUCUCUGCACUGUCCAAUUCUAGCAAGAAUUUUACUAAGUCAGUUUAACCGGAAUCCUCUACUCUCAUCGCUUGAUACUUGAUUGGGUUCCUCAUCUUCCACCAUCUCCCAGGUGAUGUCUGAUCACCCUGGCCUGCCCUGAGCAAGAAUUCUGCUAGGUCAGUUUGCUCAAAAUUCCUAUUAACCCUGACGUUUUCCCUUAGUAAUUUUUCAUCAACUAACCCCCACCCACCACUCUGCUUCUUGACUAUAAAUUCCCACUUUUCCUUAUUAUAUUUGGGAUGGAGCCCAAUUUCUUUCUCCCACUGUAAAAAUACAUUGUGGUGGUCCCUGUUACUAUUGUGAU